rnacentral:rRNA from 1 species
CCUACGGGGCGCAGCAGUGGGGAAUAUUGCACAAUGGGGGAAACCCUGAUGCAGCGAUGCCGCGUGGAGGAAGAAGGUUUUCGGAUUGUAAACUCCUUUUAUCAGGGACGAUAAUGACGGUACCUGAAGAAAAAGCUCCGGCUAACUACGUGCCAGCAGCCGCGGUAAUACGUAGGGAGCGAGCGUUGUCCGGAAUUACUGGGUGUAAAGGGAGCGUAGACGGUAAUGCAAGUCUGGAGUGAAAGGCGGGGGCCCACCCCCCGGACUGCUCUGGAAACUGUGUAACUGGAGUGCAGGAGAGGCAG